ACCAGAAAUAGUUCAGUCAGUAGAGCGUGGGAGUCUUAAUCUCAGGGUCAUGGGUUUGAGCCACACAUUGGGCA